rnacentral:rRNA from 1 species
CGUGCAGGUGGUUGGGUAAGUGGCGUGUGAAAUCUCCUGGCUCAACUGGGAGAGGCUGCGCCAAACUGCCCGGCUAGAGGACGGUAGAGGGAGGUGGAAUUCCCGGUGUAGUGGUGAAAUGCGUAGAUAUCGGGAGGAACACCUGUGGCGAAAGCGGCCUCCUGGACCGUACCUGACGCUCAGACGCGAAAGCUAGGGGAUGAACG